rnacentral:rRNA from 1 species
AUUGAACGCUGGCGGCAUGCUUUACACAUGCAAGUCGAACGGUAACAGGCCGCAAGGUGCUGACGAGUGGCGAACGGGUGAGUAAUGCAUCGGAACGUGCCCAGUCGUGGGGGACAACGCAGCGAAAGCUGCGCUAAUACCGCAUACGAUCUAUGGAUGAACGCGGGGGCACGUAAGGCCUCGCGCGAUUGGAGCGGCCGAUGUCAGAUUAGGUAGUUGGUGGGGUAAAGGCUCACCAAGCCAACGAUCUGUAGCUGGUCUGAGAGGACGAUCAGCCACACUGGGACUGAGACACGGCCCAGACUCCUACGGGAGGCAGCAGUGGGGAAUUUUGGACAAUGGGCGAAAGCCUGAUCCAGCAAUGCCGCGUGUGUGAAGAAGGCCUUCGGGUUGUAAAGCACUUUUGUCCGGAAAGAAAUGGCUCUGGUUAAUACCUGGGGUCGAUGACGGUACCGGAAGAAUAAGGACCGGCUAACUACGUGCCAGCCGCCGCCGUAACAC